rnacentral:rRNA from 1 species
CCUACGGGGGGCAGCAGUGGGGAAUAUUGGACAAUGGGGGGAACCCUGAUCCAGCCAUGCCGCGUGUGUGAAGAAGGCCCUCGGGUUGUAAAGCACUUUCAGUGAGGAAGAACGCCUGGUGGUUAAUACCCAUCAGGAAAGACAUCACUCACAGAAGAAGCACCGGCUAACUCCGUGCCAGCAGCCGCGGUAAUACGGAGGGUGCGAGCGUUAAUCGGAAUUACUGGGCGUAAAGCGCGCGUAGGUGGCUUGAUAAGCCGGUUGUGAAAGCCCCGGGCUCAACCUGGGAACGGCAUCCGGAACUGUCAAGCUAGAGUGCAGGAGAGGAAGGUAGAAUUCCCGGUGUAGCGGUGAAAUGCGUAGAGAUUGGGAGGAAUACCAGUGGCGAAGGCGGCCUUCUGGACUGACACUGACACUGAGGUGCGAAAGCGUGGGUAGCAAACAGGAUUAGAUACCCUGGUAGUC